rnacentral:rRNA from 1 species
UGGGGAAUAUUGGACAAUGGGCGAAAGCCUGAUCCAGCAAUACCGCGUGAGUGAUGAAGGCCUUAGGGUUGUAAAGCUCUUUCAGUUGGAAAGAUAAUGACGGUACCAACAGAAGAAGCCCCGGCUAACUACGUGCCAGCAGCCGCGGUAAGACGUAGGGGGCUAGCGUUGUUCGGAAUUACUGGGCGUAAAGAGCGCGUAGGCGGUCUAUUAAGUUGGAAGUGAAAGCCCGGGGCUUAACCCCGGAAUUGCUUUCAAAACUGGUAGGCUAGAGUUCGGUAGGGGGUGAUGGAAUUCCUAGUGUAGAGGUGAAAUUCUUAGAUAUUAGGAGGAACACCGGUGGCGAAGGCGAUCACCUGGCCCGAUACUGACGCUGAGGCGCGAAAGCGUGGGGAGCAAA